AUACGGAGGGGGUUAGCGUUGUUCGGAAUUACUGGGCGUAAAGCGCACGUAGGCGGAUUGGAAAGUUGGGGUGAAAUCCCAGGGCUCAACCCUGGAACUGCCUCCAAAACUAACAGUCUAGAGUUCGAGAGAGGUGAGUGGAAUUCCAAGUGUAGAGGUGAAAUUCGUAGAUAUUUGGAGGAACACCAGUGGCGAAGGCGGCUCACUGGCUCGAUACUGACGCUGAGGUGCGAAAGCGUGGGGAGCAAACAGGAGUAGAAACCCUAGUAGUCC
rnacentral:rRNA from 1 species